UACGUAGGGACCGAGCGUUGUCCGGAUUCAUUGGGCGUAAAGAGCUCGUAGGCGGCCACUCAAGUCGAAUGUGAAACCUCGAGGCUCAACCUCGAGCCUGCAUUCGAUACUGGGCGGCUAGAGUCUGGUAGGGGGAUCUGGAAUUCCUGGUGUAGCGGUGGAAUGCGCAGAUAUCAGGAGGAACACCGGUGGCGAAGGCGGGAUCCUGGGCCAGUACUGACGCUGAGGAGCGAAAGCCAGGGGAGCAAACGGG
rnacentral:rRNA from 1 species